rnacentral:rRNA from 1 species
CGUGUAGGCGGUCGGGUAAGUGGAAUGUGAAAUGCCCCGGCUCACCCGGGGACCUGCAUCCCAAACUGCCCGGCUUGAGUAUGGGAGAGGAUGGAGGAAUUCCUGGUGUAGCGGUGAAAUGCGUAGAUAUCAGGAGGAACACCGGUGGCGAAGGCGUCCAUCUGGCCCAAUACUGACGCUGAGGCGCGAAAGCUAGGGGAGCGAACGGGAUUAGAUACCCCGGUAGUCCUAGCCGUAAACGGUGAUCACUAGGUGUUGGGGGCAUCGACCCCUCCAGUGCCGCAGCUAACGCAUUAAGUGAUCCGCCUGGGGAGUACGGCCGCAAGGUUGAA